rnacentral:rRNA from 1 species
UGGCGAACGGGUGAGUAACACGUGGGUGAUCUGCCUUGCACUUCGGGAUAAGCCUGGGAAACUGGGUCUAAUACCGGAUAGGACCAUGCUUUAGUGUGUGUGGUGGAAAGUUUUUCGGUGCAAGAUGAGCCCGCGGCCUAUCAGCUUGUUGGUGGGGUAAUGGCCUACCAAGGCGACGACGGGUAGCCGGCCUGAGAGGGUGGACGGCCACAUUGGGACUGAGAUACGGCCCAG